UCCACCGCGAGGUGGAAUCUGAAGGAAGCCGCAGGCAAACUUCCGGCUCGACGAACAGGAAUCGCCGUGUACGGAACCGUACGCACGGUGGUGUGGGAGGACGGCGGGGGUA
rfam:Pelobacter carbinolicus DSM 2380, complete genome.